GAGGGUAUAGCUCGGUGGUGGGGUGUGUGCUUAGAAUGCACAAGGUCGUGGGUUCAAGCCCCAGUACCUCUG
rnacentral:tRNA from 1 species